CAGUAGCCACGGGAAUACGUAGGGUGCGAGCGUUAAUCGGAAUUACUGGGCGUAAAGCGUGCGCAGGCGGCUUUGCAAGACAGAUGUGAAAUCCCCGGGCUCAACCUGGGAACUGCAUUUGUGACUGCAAAGCUAGAGUACGGUAGAGGGGGAUGGAAUUCCGCGUGUAGCAGUGAAAUGCGUAGAUAUGCGGAGGAACACCAAUGGCGAAGGCAAUCCCCUGGACCUGUACUGACGCUCAUGCACGAAAGCGUGGGGAGCAAACAGGAUUAGAUACCCCGGUAGUCCCUGUCUCUUAUAC
rnacentral:rRNA from 1 species